UGGGGAAUAUUGAGCAAUGGGCGAAAGCCUGACGCAGCGACGCCGCGUGAGGGAUGAAGGUUUUCGGAUCGUAAACCUCUGUCAGAAGGGAAGAAACCGCACUGUGCUAAUCAGCAGUGCCUUGACGGUACCUUCAAAGGAAGCACCGGCUAACUCCGUGCCAGCAGCCGCGGUAAUACGGAGGGUGCAAGCGUUAAUCGGAAUUACUGGGCGUAAAGCGCACGUAGGCUGCUUUGUAAGUCAGGGGUGAAAUCCCACGGCUCAACCGUGGAACUGCCUUUGAUACUGCUUAGCUUGAAUCCGGGAGAGGGUGGCGGAAUUCCAGGUGUAGGAGUGAAAUCCGUAGAUAUCUGGAGGAACAUCAGUGGCGAAGGCGGCCACCUGGACCGGUAUUGACGCUGAGGUGCGAAAGCGUGGGGAGCAAACAGG
rnacentral:rRNA from 1 species